rnacentral:rRNA from 1 species
UUGAACGCUGGCGGCAGGCUUAACACAUGCAAGUCGAACGAAGUUAGGAAGCUUGCUUCUGAUACUUAGUGGCGGACGGGUGAGUAAUGCUUAGGAAUCUGCCUAGUAGUGGGGGAUAACUUGGGGAAACCCAAGCUAAUACCGCAUACGACCUACGGGUGAAAGGGGGCUUUUAGCUCUCGCUAUUAGAUGAGCCUAAGUCGGAUUAGCUGGUUGGUGGGGUAAAGGCCUACCAAGGCGACGAUCUGUAGCUGGUCUGAGAGGAUGAUCAGCCACACUGGGACUGAGACACGGGCCAGACUCCUACGGGAGGCAGCAGUGGGGAAUAUUGGACAAUGGGCGAAAGCCUGAUCCAGCCAUGCCGCGUGUGUGAAGAAGGCCUUUUGGGUUGUAAAGCACUUUAAGUGGGAGGGGAAAAGCUUAUGGUUAAUACCCAUAAGCCCUGACGUUACCCACAGAAUAAAGCACCGGUUAACUC